rnacentral:rRNA from 1 species
AUGAGCAUGCGUCCCAUUAGCUAGUUGGUAAGGUAACGGCUUACCAAGGCAACGAUGGGUAGGGGUCCUGAGAGGGAGAUCCCCCACACUGGUACUGAGACACGGACCAGACUCCUACGGGAGGCAGCAGUGAGGAAUAUUGGUCAAUGGGCGCAAGCCUGAACCAGCCAUGCCGCGUGCAGGAUGACGGUCCUAUGGAUUGUAAACUGCUUUUGCACAGGAAGAAACCCUCGGUCGUGACCGAGCUUGACGGUACUGUGAGAAUAAGGAUCGGCUAACUCCGUGCCAGCAGCCGCGGUAAUACGGAGGAUCCAAGCGUUAUCCGGAAUCAUUGGGUUUAAAGGGUCCGUAGGCGGCCAGAUAAGUCAGUGGUGAAAGCCCAUCGCUCAACGAUGGAACGGCCAUUGAUACUGUUUGGCUUGAAUUAUUUGGAAGUAACUAGAAUAUGUAGUGUAGCGGUGAAAUGCUUAGAGAUUACAUGGAAUACCAAUUGCGAAGGCAGGUUACUACAAAUUGAUUGACGCUGAUGGACGAAAGCGUGGGUAGCGAACAGGAUUAGAUACCCUGGUAGUCCACGCCGUAAACGAUGGAUACUAGCUGUUGGGAGCAAUCUCAGUGGCUAAGCGAAAGUGAUAAGUAUCCCACCUGGGGAGUACGUUCGCAAGAAUGAAACUCAAAGGAAUUGACGGGGCCCGCACAAGCGGUGGAGCAUGUGGUUUAAUUCGAUGAUACGCGAGGAACCUUACCAAGGCUUAAAUGUAGAUUGACCGGGUUUGGAAACAGACUUUUCGCAAGACAAUUUACAAGGUGCUGCAUGGUUGUCGUCAGCUCGUGCCGUGAGGUGUCAGGUUAAGUCCUAUAACGAGCGCAACCCCUGUUGUUAGUUGCCAGCGAGUCAUGUCGGGAACUCUAGCAAGACUGCCAGUGUAAACUGUGAGGAAGGUGGGGAUGACGUCAAAUCAUCACGGCCCUUACGCCUUGGGCUACACACG